AAAUUGAAGAGUUUGAUCAUGGCUCAGAUUGAACGCUGGCGGCAGGCCUAACACAUGCAAGUCGAACGGUAACAGGAAGCAGCUUGCUGUUUCGCUGACGAGUGGCGGACGGGUGAGUAAUGUCUGGGAAACUGCCCGAUGGAGGGGGAUAACUACUGGAAACGGUAGCUAAUACCGCAUAACGUCGCAAGACCAAAGAGGGGGACCUUCGGGCCUCUUGCCAUCGGAUGUGCCCAGAUGGGAUUAGCUAGUAGGUGGGGUAA
rnacentral:rRNA from 1 species